rnacentral:rRNA from 1 species
GGAAUCUUCCGCAAUGGACGCAAGUCUGACGGAGCAACGCCGCGUGAGUGAUGAAGGUUUUCGGAUCGUAAAGCUCUGUUGCCAGGGAAGAACGUCCGAUAGAGUAACUGCUAUCGGAGUGACGGUACCUGAGAAGAAAGCCCCGGCUAACUACGUGCCAGCAGCCGCGGUAAUACGUAGGGGGCAAGCGUUGUCCGGAAUUAUUGGGCGUAAAGCGCGCGCAGGCGGCUUUUUAAGUCCGGUGUCACAGCCCAAGGCUCAACCUUGGGUCGCACUGGAAACUGGAGAGCUUGAGUACAGAAGAGGAAAGUGGAAUUCCACGUGUAGCGGUGAAAUGCGUAGAGAUGUGGAGGAACACCAGUGGCGAAGGCGACUUUCUGGGCUGUAACUGACGCUGAGGCGCGAAAGCGUGGGGAGCAAACAGGAUUAGAUACCCUAG